ensembl:lncRNA
GUGAGUCUCCAAGCGCCACAAGGAGGGGGGCUACCGGGAGGGAGAGGCCGGGGCCCACUGGGAGCCCCCAAACCCGUGCCGUUUGCGGGUUUUCCUCCUAAAGUCCUGGCUGCCAAAAGGCACCCGUGGGCCAGGAACUAGAGGCGCUGCGAUGAAUCUGAUGAAUCCGUGGGAGGAGAUGGAGAAAAGAGAACCCAGCUCAGACCCUGGUGCCAUCUCUGCAGGGGAGAGGGGGGUCCUCGCCCCAGGGAGGGCAGGAGUGAGUGAUAACGCUGAGUCCCAGGCUGGGGGCCAGGUUGAGGAAGCAGGGGGCUCAGGGCAGACAAACUUUCGGGGGAUCGGUCCUCCAAAGCUCCCCUGCGCCGCAUGCCUGGAGGAGACCGCCCAGAGAGGAGCCAGGGCAGCCUGGCUGCCAGCUGAGCUUUCUCCCAUCCUGGAUCUCAGGAGGUCAACAGGAGAGACCGUCUCCUCUCAUCCCAAGGCUGCUGGGGGCGCAGUCCCACAGGCUCUGUGAUGGCCCUGCACGUCACAGAUUACGGCGCAUUUUCUUACCCGUCAGGAGAUCCUCCCAACCAUUCUGAGGAUGGGACUAGAUAACAAGCCCAUUUUACAGAUGGGGAAACUGAGGCCCCAGGAGGCAAAGGGACAGAGAAGACAGCUUGUUUAGAGAGGCUCUUUAUAUUUGCUCAUCCUGUUGAUCAUCAUCUGUCCACUCACCUGGUCAAGACUCUACAGGCCAGGCUAUGUACCCAAGGAGCUCAAGGGUUAGGGGUGGAAGAAAGACUUUCCCAGGUCAGACGGAUGACGGAUGACGGUGGCGGUUGCAGAGCAAUGAGAAUGGACUCGGGGCCACUGACGUGUACAGUUAAACAUGGUUAAUAUAGUAUGUUUUAUAUUCUGUGACUUGUACCACAGUAAAAAAAGAAAAAGUCUUUCCCCGGUCACCUCUGCCCUAAAUUCAGACUAGGCGUUAAGAGGAACAUGUUAUCAUGCUAAGCAACCACAUUU